GUGUCAGCAGCCGCGGUAAGACGAACCGUGCGAACGUUAUUCGGAAUCACUGGGCUUAAAGGGCGCGUAGGCGGGUCCGUAAGUCAGGGGUGAAAUCCCACGGCCCAACCGUGGAAGUGCCUCUGAUACUGCGGGCCUCGAGGGGGAUAGGGGCGUGCGGAACUCAGGGUGGAGCGGUGAAAUGCGUAGAUAUCCUGAGGAACACCGGUGGCGAAAGCGGCGCGCUGGAUCCCUUCUGACGCUGAGGCGCGAAAGCCAGGGGAGCAAACGGGAUUAGAAACCCUCGUAGUCC
rnacentral:rRNA from 1 species